GAUGGGGUCCUCGCGCGGUUCAGCUCAUGGGCGACAGCGUAACCCGUCGCUCCUCCCUCUGCGGGAGGGCGUGGACAGGGCACGGGAUUUGGAGCGUGGAAGGAAUCGGGACCUAAAGGAGUCCCAGGACACCAGAACCAGGACUCCCCGGCGCACCCGGAGAGUUUCCGAGCUCCUUUGAAGUAUGAAUCAGAACUUCUGGAUGGGAAUCCUGGAGCCACCACUUGCCCUAUGGUCGCAAUGGGCAAGUCGCUCAACCUCCCAGAUCCUGUUUUCUCAUGAGUAAAACGGGGAUUAUAAUACCCACCUGACAAUAUUAUUUUUGUGAGAAUUAAAUGAGUUUAGAAUGUAAA